GUUCCAUAUUGAGCAGUAGGGAGUUCUAGGUCUUUCUCUCCUUUGCUGUUACUCUCCCAGUCUGCAGUCUGAAGCCUUAGUUUGUAGUUCCUCCUCUGUGUGGGGUUUGUCCUGGAAAGAAGCCCUCACUGUUGCUCUGCCCAUUUUCCUAGAAGGAAGAUUCAAAGUCUAUGGUGCCAUUGGCGCCACUGUCCUAUUUUUAUUUUGAAGACCCUGCUGGUGUGUAGAUCUCAGAAGUACAGGCAUUCUUGUGGAUUCUCUGCUGCUUAAGUUUCAGCACAAAAAGUCACAUGUUACGAAGUGCUAAGUACGUGGGAGGCACCAAAAAUAUGUGUUAAAUGAAUGAAGGUUCUUAACCACAUACAGUCAACGUUAGACAUCUGAGCAGAUUCUAAUAGUGUAGCAGACACUCUGGCACACUGAGCAAAAUUGGCAGAAAUAGAUCUCUUGUGCAAUGAUAAUUCAAUGGCCAGAUCCACGUGGCAAGACAAGGGGAUGGACUCCAGCUAGCUCUGUGCUGCCAUUGGGCCUCCUCUAUGCAGGUCAAUGUACAGAAGAGCAACAAUCCUCAUAAAGCUGAUUAACGGACCCCCAGCAAUGGGGAGGAGGCAAUGAAUUUAGAACUUAGCCCUGGAAGAAAGUGAAAGGUAUGAUUUCAAGGGAAAUAUUUAUUAUGUGCAUAACACAACAAUGAAAUUGUAGACUGAAUAAGUGAUUGAUGAAAUGAAUAAGUCAAAGACUUGGGUAACAUCUCUUGAUGAGAAGGCAAGCUCUUGAACAUGCUGGAUAUGGCUGUAGUCACCCUGACACUUCUCAGAUUACUCUCUGGAAUAGAAAUAAACUCAGGGGCUCUUCUGGGCAUUGACCCCCCAAAUCUUAUCCCUCUGAAGAAGUUUUCUCUAUGCCUUCAUCCUGAGCCUACUCAGUUUUGAUCCCUCCUUGAUGCCUUCUGCAGAGAUAAUGUUCUGUUUGUUUUGCCCUUCUAUUAAAGAACUUUCUUUUAUACGAAGAGCUUGUGGCUCUUCAUAUAAGAAAGAAAAUAUAAAAGAAAGUGGGGUUUUCCCUCUUCCCUUGGUUCUGGGGCUCUACCCAGCUCUGGAAUCAAAGUGUCCUGCCAGAGAGUCAGAUGCUUAUUUUUCAUUUUCAAAUAUCCUUGACUCAAUGUCAACUAAAAAAUCACUUUCAAAAAAAUGUGCUUAUGUUCCAGAGACCCAAAGAAUGCACAGGGAAGUCGGGAGGCAGCAAAGUCUCCACCUCCACUGCCGGGGAGCCAGGACCCUCUUUGAGCUGGUGUCUGGAGGACCCUCUGCUGCCCUGGCCCAGUGCUUGCCUUUAUUUGCCCCUCUGCCUUAGGCCCUGGCUCAUCAGUAGGAAAUCUCAGUGCUACCUGCUUUCCAUCUGGUGUCCUUCCUUCAAGCACAGACACAGGCAGCUUCUGCUCAGCAGACCCCAGACCUAAGUCUUAGCAGGGAAAAGCCUCUUGGUGCCUCUCCUAGCUCCAUGCCCUUUUCCUCUCAUCUAUUUCAAAAAGUCGGGAUUGGGGAAGCAGUGAAGGAAUCAGCUGCUUCUACUCUCAAGAAGAAAAUAGCCUCACCCCAUCUCCUGCAAAAGGAGUACUAUCCAGCCUGUAAUAUUCAGGGUCCUCCGGAGAGUCAGAGCUGAUAGGACAUAUACACAGAGAGAGAGAGAGAGAGAUGAGAGGAGACUUACAAGCUGAAUUAGCUUAUGAAAUUAUGGAGGCUGAUGAGCCCCACAACUGGCCGUCUGUGAGCUGGAGAACCAGGGAAGCCAGUUGCAUGGCUCAGUCCAAGUACAAAGGCCAGAGACCCAGGGAUGCCAAUAGGGUAACUCUCAGUCCAGGGCCAAAGUGCUGAGAACCCAGGGGCCACUGGUAGAAGUCCCCAAAUCCAAAGGCCAGAGAAUCUGGAAGUGGGAUGUUCAAGGGCAGGCAAAGAAAGGUGUCCCAUCUCCAGACGAGAGAGAGAGUAAAUUCUCAUGUCCUCUGCCUUUUUGUUCCAUCUCAGCCCUCAGCUGAUUGGAUGGUGUUUGUCUAUAUUGGGUGAGGGUGAAUCUUCCUUACUUGGGCCACUGAUUCAAAUGCCAGUCUCUUCCAAAAACACCCUCAUAGACAUACCCAGAAAUAAGGUCUUGCCAGCUAUCUGGCUGUCCCUUAAUCCAGGCAAGUUGAUACCUAAAAUGAACCAUCACACAGCCCAAAGAGCAGACCAUGAAGAGGUGAGAGCCCCACCCUCACUCUGAGCUUCACCAGCAUGGCAUACACACUGCAUCCCAAGGGUCAUGAGACAUUCUGCUGGACACAGACCCAUAGGAGACUUGUGGAGUUUGGGGAUGAGAGUUGUUCCAGGGCCCUCCUUCAGCCUCAUCCCGACCCAAAAGUGGCCAUUCAACACUCCCCGAGGGACUUCUGUGUGGGCCAGGAGCAUUUUGCCACCUUCAGAAGCAUGAAUCAAGCCUUGCAGGCAAAACACUCGUGGAGACAGGAGGUCCAGGGCUUUUUGACAGCCCCACGAUGUGGUUAGCGCCUCAGGCUCCUUCUGCCUUUCUGUUCUACCAUUCUUAGUGCAUGUGUCUGUCCUCAAGGGAAACUCAGGGCUGCAAGAUGGCUGCUGCCGCUACAGUCAUCAUGCCCACCUUCCUGUCUUGAAGAAGAAAAGAAAGGAAGAGCUUGCCAGAGGAGUCAGACCCUUUUAAAAAGAUUUCCUGAAGCCCCCCCAACAAUAACUUCCUCUUACAUCUCAGGAGCUGCCGCAACUGCAAAGAAGGCUAGGAAAUGAACCGGGAGUAUCGCCAUCCUCAACAACAUAGGGAUUUUGUUGGCAAAGAAUUAUCUCAUGGCACCUAAGCCUUACUGAGCACUUAGCUGACGUUGGAUACUCUAAGCACCCCAUAUGCGUGACCUCAUGGAACCCUCACAACAAUGCCAUGAUGUGGGAACUAUGAUUACCCUAUUUUUCAUAACAGGAAGCCGAGCCAUAAGGGUUUCAAUCAUGUUUCUAAAUGACAGAGCCAGGAUUUGGCUCUGAGCAUGAGUUUUUCCCACACUCGGGCUAUCUUCCACUUGAGCCCCAUGCCCUCAGCCAUCAGCUGACUGCUUAAAUUCAGGUCCCCUGAACUGCCCCCAUGGUCCCCAGCCCCCAACCUUGUCACUGUGGUGAAAGAGCUUGGUCUUUCAGCUCGGAGGUCCCCAUUCAGAACCGUCCUUUGAGACCUGGGUGAUUCCCCACCUCUGAGGCUCACCACCACCAGUGGUGCCUGGCACUUGUGAAUUCCUGGUCCCCUAACCUGUCCCCUCCUAUCUCUCUUCCAUAUGUCCCUGUCCCUCUUUCUAUUAUUCUGUUUUUCUCUUCCUCCCUCUCUUCUUUUCUUUCACAACAUCCCUUUAUCCUUUCUUUAAAAUAAAAGAAACACAGUCUUCCGGCCAGGGCUUAGUUCUUAUACUCUCACUUUCCUUCUGCCCCUCCCCUUCGCCACCCUUCUCCUUCUCUGGCCUCCCAUUCCCCACACGGAGGCACCUCCCCCAACCCCCACUGACACACAGCCACCCCCGUGAGCACACGCUGUGGAGCAGGCCCAGAGGAAACCGCCAAGCCAGGGACAUAAACAUAAUGGAGCUGGCACGGGCCCCUCUCCAGGGCUCGGCUUGGGAGUCACUCACUGUCACUAACAGGCCUACGUCCCCAACUGCCUUCAUGAUGCUUGGGAGGAGAGAGCCCAGAGUGAAGGGGACUUUUACUAUCCUCAGAGGGAGCUUUGUUCCUGCUACAAUCUUUUCUGCUCUGCUCUAGGCCGGCCAGCAGCUUGAAAGAGGUUUUGGUUUAAAUGGGUCUCUCUCCUUCACUCAGCAAACAUCAAUUAAUUAACCAGAAUAGUCAACAGUACCAAUAAAGAGCUUGCAGGACUGGCCUGUGGGGUGGAGGUGGCAUCUUAGAAAACCAUGCAGGGCAGCCCAUUCUGCAAUGGAUGGGCUGAAGCCCCAGGGCUUGGUUUCCUGUCUCCCUCCCAACCCCCUCCUCUGCCUCUGACCCUUAGGCUGUGACUUUGGUGUAAAAGGAACUUGCUCUGUUACCAAACACAUUUAUGUAGCUGAUCUUAUUCAUCUUCAGAACAACUCCAGUUUACCGAUGAGGCAGUGCCCAAGUUCAAACAGCCAUGAGCAGUGGAGCCACACUCCUGGAUGAUGAGGCCGUCCUGGUUUGCACAGACAACCUGCUUGUUUCAACAGGACCAUGGAGGAGAGUAGAGGCCACCAGCCAUAUGCAGGGACCGUGCUCCGUUCCAGCUCUGCCAUGGGAAGCUGUAUGACCUUGCAUGGCUGCCCAAAGCUCCUUUUGUCUUGCCCUGCCUCCCUCUAUAAGUAUGGAACGCGGCCGGGCGUGGCGGCUCACGCCUG
rnacentral:lncRNA from 1 species